rnacentral:rRNA from 1 species
CCUACGGGUGGCAGCAGUGGGGAAUUUUGCUCAAUGCUCGUAAGAGUGACGCAGCGACGCCGCGUGCAUGACGAAGGCCUUCUGGUCGUAAAGUUCUUUCGACAGGGAAGAAAAUGCUUAUAAGUAACUGUUUAUGUAUUGACGGUACCUGCAAAGGAAGCACCGGCUAACUCCGUGCCAGCAGCCGCUGUAAUAAGGAGGAUGCGAGCGUUAAUCGGUAUUACUGGGCGUAAAGCGCUCGUAGGAGGUAUGUUAAGUCAAGGGUGAAAUCCCCGCGCUCAACGUUGGAACUGCCUUUGAAACUGGCAAACUGGAGUGUGUGAGAGGAUAGUGGAAUUCCAGGUGUAGGAGUGAAAUCCGUAGAUAUCUGGAGGAACAUCAGUGGCGAAGGCGACUAUCUGGAACAUAACUGACGCUGAGGAGCGAAAGCGUGGGUAGCAAACAGGAUUAGAUACCCGGGUAGUC